rnacentral:rRNA from 1 species
CCUACGGGAGGCAGCAGUGGGGAAUAUUGGGCAAUGGGCGCAAGCCUGACCCAGCAACGCCGCGUGAAGGAAGAAGGCUUUCGGGUUGUAAAACUCUUUUAAGAGGGAAGAGUAGAAGCCGGUACUUCCUGAAUAACCCCCGCCUAACUACGUCCCAGCGGCCGCGUGAAUACGUAGGUGGCAAGCGUUGCCCGGUUUUACUGGGUGUAAAGGGCGUGUAGCCGGGCCGGCAAGUCAGAUGUGAAAGCCCAGGGCUCAACCUUGGAACUGCCUUUGAAACUGUUGGUCUGGAGUAUAGGAGAGGCAGGCGGAAUGCCUGGUGUAGCGGUGAAAUGCGUAGAUAUUAGGAGGAACACCGGUGGCGAAGGCGGCCUGCUGGACGGCGACUGACGGUGAGGCGCGAAAGCGUGGGGAGCAAACAGGAUUAGAUACCCGGGUAGUC